GACGAACGCUGGCGGCGUGCUUAACACAUGCAAGUCGAACGGAAAGGCCCUGCUUUUGUGGGGUGCUCGAGUGGCGAACGGGUGAGUAACACGUGAGUAACCUGCCCUUGACUUUGGGAUAACUUCAGGAAACUGGGGCUAAUACCGGAUAGGAGCUCCUGCUGCAUGGUGGGGGUUGGAAAGUUUUGGCGGUUGGGGAUGGACUCGCGGCUUAUCAGCUUGUUGGUGGGGUAGUGGCUUACCAAGGCUUUGACGGGUAGCCGGCCUGAGAGGGUGACCGGCCACAUUGGGACUGAGAUACGGCCCAGACUCCUACGGGAGGCAGCAGUGGGGAAUAUUGCACAAUGGGCGGAAGCCUGAGGCAGCAACGCCGCGUGCGGGAUGACGGCCUUCGGGUUGUAAACCGCUUUCGCCUGUGACGAAGCGUGAGUGACGGUAAUGGGUAAAGAAGCACCGGCUAACUACGUG
rnacentral:rRNA from 1 species